rnacentral:rRNA from 1 species
UACGUAGGGGGCAAGCGUUGUCCGGAAUCAUUGGGCGUAAAGCGCGUGUAGGCGGCCAGAAAAGUCCGCUGUGAAAACUCGAGGCUCAACUUCGAGCUGUCGGUGGAAACUUUCUGGCUAGAGUCCGGAAGAGGAGAAUGGAAUUCCUGGUGUAGCGGUGAAAUGCGCAGAUAUCAGGAAGAACACCCGUGGCGAAGGCGGUUCUCUGGGGACGGUACUGACGCUGAGACGCGAAAGCGUGGGGAGCGAACAGG